AUUUAAGUAGUUUAAUAAAAAUAACGGUUUGUGAAUCCGUAGAUAUAGUUGUUAUCUUAGAUC
rnacentral:tRNA from 1 species